AAUGCUUUAUGCGUAAAAUGGACUCGUCUGCCCAAGGAUGGGUCUGCGGCCUAUCAGGUAGUAGUGGGUGUAAUGUACCUACUAGCCAACAACGGGUACGGGUUGUGAGAGCAAGAGCCCGGAGAUGGAUUCUGAGACAUGAAUCCAGGCCCUACGGGGCGCAGCAGGCGCGAAAACUUUACAAUGCGGGAAACCGUGAUAAGGGGACACCGAGUGCCAGCAUCAUAUGCUGGCUGUCCAGAUGUGUAAAAUACACCUGUUAGCAAGGGCCGGGCAAGACCGGUGCCAGCCGCCGCGGUAACACCGGCGGCCCGAGUGGUGAUCGUGAUUAUUGGGUCUAAAGGGUCCGUAGCCGGUUUGGUCAGUCCUCCGGGAAAUCUGAUAGCUCAACUAUUAGGCUUUCGGGGGAUACUGCCAGGCUUGGAACCGGGAGAGGUAAGAGGUACUACAGGGGUAGGAGUGAAAUCUUGUAAUCCCUGUGGGACCACCUGUGGCGAAGGCGUCUUACCAGAACGGGUUCGACGGUGAGGGACGAAAGCUGGGGGCACGAACCGGAUUAGAUACCCGGGUAGUCCCAGCCGUAAACGAUGCUCGCUAGGUGUCAGGCAUGGCGCGACCGUGUCUGGUGC
rnacentral:rRNA from 1 species